GCUCAAAUAAUGGUAUUUCACAUUGACCAUUUCAUGUGCAAACAGAAGGAUGUCGUGAAAGAAGAAGAAGAAGAAGCGAAGAGAAAAGAUGGCAGUCAUGACAAAUAGUAAAAGCGGCAGCAGCAGCAGCAGAGGAGUUGGUGGUGCCGUGGUGGUAUAGCAAGGGCACACUAAUGCUCAAAAGAAAUAGCCAUACAGCCACUCCAUAAACAUGUUUCCAUCAUUGGGC
rnacentral:lncRNA from 1 species